GGGGUCGUAGCUUAACGGUAAAGUGCACGAGACACACGCAGCGGAUUGUGAAAUAGAGGAUGUCAUGGUUUGCAUUUGAGAUCCCGCUCCGAAGCAAUCUGUCUGUUCAAUCGUGAGAUGAUGGUUCGAACCCAGCCGACUCCA